AAUAGAUGCAAAACACUGUUUUUUUCACGUUUGAUGGUUUGUCAUUACUGUCAGUUCAGAGGGAAUAAAAUAAAAAGAUGGAGGAAGCCCGGUUAACAGAAGGAACUAGGGCACUAACCUGAUGUUAAAUCCUGAUGACAAGUUCUACUUCACUCCACUUGGGCUUCAUUUGGAUGUCCUCUGACUCAACACUCUCCACCAAGGACGCCCCAACUACAUAGGUAGACAAGAACUGCACACAGAUGGGGGACCUUUAAGGCCGGCAGUCUUACCCAAUGGUGUACAUAAACUUUGAGAAGUGUUGAAGCCACCAGUCGGCCAUAUUGACAAUCCCCAGUAGGAGCAGUCCUUCAUAGGAAUGAAUGGAAUUCUACAGUAUUUCAAUUAAAUGU